CCCCUUCCAGCCUGCCCGCGGCCCAGCUCCGACCGACCGGCCUUGGCCCAGGGUGAGCAGCCCCCGCCCCCUCUCCUGUGCACUUGUGGGCUGACUAGAUUCGGCCCGUUGCUAUUUUUUCCCUGUCCAGCGAUUUUAACAUUAUCCGUAGAAUUAACAGAUUUUCAGAAAACCCCCUGAAGUUCAUGCAUAUAAUAACUCCACAACUGUGCAUCGGAUUAAAAUAAUUUAUACAUGUAAAUUGCUUAGAAUUUCGUGUAGAUUAAUAAUAUGCCAUUUUCAUCCAUGUUUAAAAUGUUUAACUUGCUGUUUAUUUAAAUUUGCUAAUAUGCCAUGCUAAAAUGCUUUAUUUCAUAACUAAAUAACCAUAGCUCGGUUUUAAAUAAACUUUAUAUGUAAAUGGGGUGGAAAAAUGCCUAGUUUAACAUGAUCCACUUUAUUUUCCUGCUUGACAACUUUAAAAUUGUGUUUAGGGCAGAACAGUACCAAAUCCAUAAUUUGCAUAUGGGGAUUUUCCGGAAUUGUUGUUUUGUUGUUCUGGCCUCAUUUAAACUUGCUUAGAUAGGUAGUUUUAUUAUGCCUCACCUCUUGCCAUGUUUAACAACAUUUAAUAUUGUUUGGUAGCUUAAACGAGAUUAAACAACUAUGUCCAUGUGGUGUUUCGUCAAUAUGCAACUCGUUGCAUAUUGAGCUCCACUUAACUUGUAGUGUUGUUUGUGCAUAUUGCCAUGCCAUGCCUCAUUAAACCGGUCAUGCAUCAUACUUGUUUGUGCAUCAUGCCAUGCUUAUGCUUGUUGGUUUACCAUGUUGUUUGUUUCUUUCCGGUGUUGCUUCUUAGUUCCGGUAAUGUUGCGAUCGUGAGGAUUCGUUCGUCUACGCUUGGUUCGGUUUCAUCCGUUCGUCUUCUUCAUGGACUCAUUCUUCUUCCUUGCGGGAUUUCAGGCAAGAUGACCGCUACCCUGGAUCUCACUACUAUCAUUGCUAUGCUAGUUGCUUCGUUCUAUCGCUUUGCUGCGCUACCUAUCAUCUGUUUGUCGAGCCAUCCCAUGUUGCCAUGAACCUCUAACCUUUGACACCUUUCCUAUGCAAACCGUUGCUUGGCUAUGUUGCCGCUUUGCUCAGCCCUCUUAUAGCGUUGCUAGUUGCAGGUGAAGUUGAAGAUUACUCCAUGGUGGAUAGGAUUUUUAUUGGGAUAUCACAAUAUCUCUUAUAUUAUUAAUGCAUCUAUAUAUUUGGUAAAGGGUGGAAGGCUCGGCCUUAUGCCUGGUGUUUUGUUCCACUCUUGCCACCCUAGUUUCCGUCAUACCGGUGUUAUGUUCCCGGAUUUUGCGUUCCUUACGCGGUCGGGUGAUUUAUGGGACCCCCUCGACAGUUUGCUUUGAAUAAAACUCCUCCAGCAAGGCCCAACCUUGGUUUUACCAUUUGCCUCACCACCACAUAUAUUUUCCCUUGGGAGUAAUUAACCCAAGGGUCAUCUUUANNNNNNNNNNNNNNNNNNNNNNNNNNNNNNNNNNNNNNNNNNNNNNNNNNNNNNNNNNNNNNNNNNNNNNNNNNNNNNNNNNNNNNNNNNNNNNNNNNNNNNNNNNNNNNNNNNNNNNNNNNNNNNNNNNNNNNNNNNNNNNNNNNNNNNNNNNNNNNNNNNNNNNNNNNNNNNNNNNNNNNNNNNNNNNNNNNNNNNNNNNNNNNUUGUCUAAGUUUUGGUCCGAACCAGAGCCACUUGCAGCGCCACCUCGGGGAAACUCGAGGGAUGGUUUUAGUUGUACGUAGUGUUCAUCCGGUGUUGCCCUGAGAACGAGAUAUGUGCAGCUCCUAUCGGGAUUGUCGGCGCAUCGGGCGGUCUUGCUGGUCUUGUUUUACCAUUGUCAAAAUGUCUUGUAAACCGGGAUUCCGAGUCUGAUCGGGUUUUCCUGGGAGAAGGUCUAUUCCUUCGUUGAUCGCGAGAGCUUGUCAUGGGAUAAGUUGGGACAUCCCUACAGGGUAUAAUCUUUCGAAAGUCAUGCCUGCGGUUAUUGGCAGAUGGGAAUUUGUUAAUGUUCGGUUGUAGAUAACUUGACACCAGAUCCGAACUAAAACGCAUCAAUCGUGUGUGUAGCCGUGAUGGUCUCUUCUCGGUGGAGUCCGGGAAGUGAACACGGUUUCUGUGUUAUGUUUGACGUAAGUAGGAGUUCAGGAUCACUUCUUGGUCAUUACUAGUUGACGACCGUUCCUCUUGCUCUCUCCUCGCUCUUAUUUGCGUAUGUCAGCCACCAUACUUGCUUAGUCGCUGCUGCAACCUCACCACUUUACCCCUUCCUCUCCCUUUAACCUUUGCUAGUCUUGAUACCCAUGGUAAUGGGAUUGCUGAGUCCUCGUGGCUCACAGAUUACUACAACAACAGUUGCAGGUUCAGGUUGUGCGAGGAUCAUGAUGCGAGAGCGAUGCUUGCUUGCGUUGAGUUCUUCUUCUGCUUCUUCGAUCAGGGAAUAGGUUCCAGGUCGGCAGCCUGGGCUAGCAGGGUGGAUGUCGUUUGAGCUUCUGUUUGUGUUUCAUCCGUAGUCGGAUGUUGAUAUUGUGUAUGAUAUAUUGUUGUAUCCGUGUGGCAUUGUAUGCCUUAUGUAUGUAUCCCCAUCUAUUAUGUAAUGUUGAUGUAAUGAUAUCCACCUUGCAAAGCGUUUCAAUAUGCGGUUCUAUCCUUGGUGGGACCUUCGAGUCUCUUUAGGAUAGUAUCGCAUAUUGGGCGUGACAAGUUGGUAAUCAGAGCCUCGACCGACCAUAGGAGCCCCCUUGAUUGUUGGCCGUUGUUGAGUCUAGAAGAAAACUAUUUUGAGUCUUAGGAUUAUAUAUAUCGGAGAGUAGGAUUCUUUUUACUCCUCAGCCCCUUCGUCGCUCUGGUGAGGUCUCUUGAUGUAGAUGUUUUGUCUUUCCUCUCCUCAAAUUUCACUAAAAAAAUUUAGGAUCACGCGGGUAUCUUGGAAUCGUUCCGAUGGUUUUGUGACGAGAACAUUGUUCUUGGUGCCUCCUGUCUAUUAUGUGGUUUUGACCCGGGGAGUUGAGCUCCGAGGUGUUGUCGUCACAAUUUUAUCGUUGCAGUUCUGGAAUACCUGAGUUUUGCCGACAUCGAAAAUCUCUUUUAUGCAGUUGUUGGUGAGAUAACCUCGACGUCAACCAGUACUGGGGAGUUCGGGAGUAUUGCCAUAACUCGUAUAACGGAUGCUUUUCGAAGGUUGAGGUACAUGAUUUCCGAAGGUUUCUUGGUUAUGUGUUGACGGAUGGAUACAGCUAGAUGUAGGGAUUGUUAGUUUGGGUGAGAUAUAUUGCUUCCCCUGUAUCCCCAACACCAGAUUGCAUAACCAGAAAGUUUUGGGAGUUUAUAGGUGGGAAUUCAAGUAGCUCCUAGAAUAUCUUUUCGACAGAUGCAUGAUAUGAGAUUGGGGUUCGACGUCUAGUGGUCCGUUUUUCCACGGUCGUUUUUACAGUGGUCUCGUUGUGUCUUAAAGAACCCUUGGCUAUGCUGGUUCGGGGACACUUCGUAUGUCAUGUGCACUGCCUUGUACAUGAUGGUGCUGUACACUCGAGCCCAUGUGGGCCCCACCACAAAAACUUCGGACAAAAUCUCUAUCAUAUGUUUGUUCCGGCUUAUUCUGCAAGCCAAAUCCUUUGUUUUGUUUUGAGUUGUGGUAUUCGAGUUGCUUCAUUAUCAAAUGUUGAAUCCAUACCUUUCCUAAACGGUGUUCUCAUAUUGCUAUGUGAAUACUAAUCCUUCUUGUUUAUCAAGAUCGUCAUGUCAAUUCUUUCCAACCGGCGUGCUUCUCUUCAAGGGAUUCGAUCAUUUCAACAUCCGCAAGAUCAACUCUAAGUUUUCUCACCGGUGUUUGUGUCAUCCGUCCCCAAGUUGCCUUUGUUUUCCCGCCCUCCCACCCUUUUUCUUCAAGGACUCAGAUUUCUUAAUCAAGUAUCCAUUUAUUCAUGUGAAGUCUAUUCACUCUUUUCAAUCAAUGUUCUGAUCCGGUGAUCCCUCGUGAAGAUGCUCACGAGCUUCAAGUUCAUCAUUCUUCAUUCUCGUAUUCUUCUCCGGUGGAUUAAUUUCAAGCUUUCAGUGUUGAUCAUAUUCCUUUCCUCGUGUCAAAUGCUUUCUCAUGCCGUUGCACCUCUUAAUCUUUCACUUCUCGCUAUUCAUUUGUUCUGGAGUGCUGAAGAUAUCUCGGAAGACUUGUGUUUCCAUUCUCAAUCAGUUCAAGAUAUUUCGAGGUUGUUAUCUCAUUCAAGCCAUUUAAUUCAACCGGUGCAAUCUCUCUUCAAAAUUAUUUCAAUGGUGUUCCUUUUCAGUGGGCCCUAACCCACAGGUUUUUUCCUAGGAUCUUACCUGACUCUUCUAAUUUUCCCGAAGCUAUUCCCAAAUUCAUUUCAAAGUUUGAUGUAAGAAUGAUUUAUCAUCAGUCAAAUGCCUUCUUCAAGAUCGUUUUCAAAUUCUUUUCAUCGUUGAUUCAACCUUUCUAUUCUUCAUCCCGGAUUGUCUGAACAAUUCAUGGUGGUUCUCAUCAUCAUUCUCAACAUUUGAAGACCGAAGAAGAGUUUCUCUUAAAUCUUGCUCCAUUCUCUUCAAGAUUCAUAGCUCUCUUAAAUUCUUUUCAUCCAUCCGGAGCAAUUCAAGAGUCUUUUCAGAUUGAUUCUCCAUAGCCCAUCAUCUAAGAAUUAUUCAUUCAAGCUUUCAGCUCUCGUUCUCCAAAUCUUACCGGUGCAUCGUUCAAAUACCCUCUAAUCAGCUCGUGAUCUCUUCGUUCUCUUGUAUCAAAUUCCCUCAAGUAUCUUCAUUCGGUCUCUAAUUCUUACUGGUGAUUCACCCCUUUACUUCGUUCAUUUUCAAUCCUUACGGUGGUUCAUUCCAGAUUUCUCUUCCUUCGUCAUCGUAUCAAUUCAUAUUAAUUCAUUCGUUGUUUCCAAAUUCCACAGGUGGUUCCAUCUAUACCUUCUCAAGUUUGCGCCAUAUCUAUCUUGAUCCUUUUUACGAGAAUAAGUAGUAUGCCAAAUCCGUUGUUUGUCAUCAAUUUAAAUUGGUGAAGGAUAGGCAUAAUGUAAUUCUUAUUAUUGUUUCAUCCAAGUAAUCUAGUUUCUUCUUUCCGGAGUUGUUCAUCAUGUCACAUUUCCCGGUUCGAGAUGUUUCAUCUUUUCUUUCCGGAGUUCCAAGUUCUCUCGGCUAUAUCAUCGUGAAGCUCCAUCUAAAUCAUCGCAAGGCUUCACCUUGUGUUUUCAACUUCUCUUUCUUUCUAUCAUCCUUUUAUUACGGGAGUUCUUCAUGGAAGAUCUACAUGAUGGUUCAUGAAGGAUUCCUUUCAUUCUUCAAUUGUUCUUCAAGAUUUCUCUUGAAGCUAAGAUCCCCCAAGCUUUACCCUAAAAUAAACAUGGUGCUCAACACAUGUCUUGUUUUGAGGAGUUCAAGUAUUCUUCUUUUGCAUUUCGAAGUGCAAUUCCUUCUACCUUAUCUCUUGAGGUGGUGUUAUGUCAUUCUUGACAAUUUGAGUUCGUGUUUCAUGAUUCACAUGUUGUCAAGAAUGAGAUAUUUUAAAAACCAUCAUUUUUCUCUUCGAUCAUGAGGUAUUUUAAAUCCAUAAAUCUCUUUGUUGGAGUUAUCUUGGGUUAUAUUUCACCUAAAGCCUUCCCUAAGGAAUGUUGCUAUUUGUGGUGCUUAUCAAUGAUCCAAGUUCUUCAUUUAUCCUCCCGGUGAAAUAAGUUUCUCGUCUCCUUGUUGAUAUCAAUCCAAUCAUUUGUUUUCGUUGGUGGCAGAAGCUCACCUCAUAAUUUUGAGAAUUUUUCCAUAAGCCCACUACAAGCUUAUUUGUUUCGUUGUUGGUUUUCCAAUGACUCCGUUAUAACCUUCUCGGAAGGAUGCUUUCCAAGCUCAAUUGUGGCAAAAGUUAUCAUUUUCUUCUCCGUCCUUUUAUCCCAACAAUCCAGCUCCUAUUCUUUCGUUCCGGAGGCAUUGUGAUGUUGCUCUCUUCACUCAUAAUCUUGAUUUGAGGAUCAUGUUCUUUUCAUGCUUAUCCAUUUAACUGGUGUGUCGUGUUUUCAUUCGUGUUCUUUCAUCUUAUCAAGUUUUGCUUCUCUUUUCAACCGGAGUGCUGUCUGAAAUCUUUCUUACCCCUUUUGCUAUUUUUUUCAAUAAUUCCGGAGGCAGUGUGUUGUUGAUUUCAUCAAGUAUCCUCUCAUCUUGUCAAGUUCAUGCUCAAUUUCUUCCAUUUACAGUCGGAGUGCUGUCAAAAUUAUAUCAUUCUUAUUCAUUCUUAUCUCAUUUCAACCAGAGUGGUUUCAAUUCCUUCUUGUCCAUUGUGCUCGUCAUUCAUGUCUUUGCAACCUUCAAGUUCUCGUAAUGUUCCUUGUUCCUCUUUUCUAACGGAGUAUUUUCAACUUUGUUCAUCUUUGUUGUUUUCUUUCUUCAUUUUGCUCAACCUCUCAAGGUUUGUGGUUUCACUCAUUGGUCGAAGAAGCAACUUAGUUUACCUCUUCUCUUCCUCUUACUUUUCCCUCCGGUGCCAUCCUAGAUCUCGGGACAAGAUCCUCUCGUAGUGGUGGAGUGUUGUAACGCCCCGGAUGCAACUUUCCAUAUUCGUAACUCCAACUCUUGACUUUUCCGGAGAUGCUGUAUGUUAUUUCCUCCGUGGUUGGGUUUUUGACUGUUGUUUUGCAUUUUGUUCUUGUUAUGCAUCUCGUCUCAUAGCAUCAUGCGCAUUGCAUCGGCAUCGUUUUCAUAAAACUUGCAUCCGUCCGGGUUUCCGCCGGUUCUCUCCGUUAUCCGUUCUGAGCCCGACCACACUUGCAUGCGCCCGCGGCACCUCCGAAAUAUUAUUUUAUAAGUGGCAUAAAAAUGUUCUCGGAAUGGGUUGCAACUUGUCGUGCGGUCUUAUUAUAGUGUAGACAGAGCGCCUGCCAAGUUUCAUCGCAUUCGGAGUUCGUUUGACUGCCCAACCGUUAAAUAUAUAACCGCGAUAUAGUUGGUAUAUUCGUCGGGUGUUUUCGGUCUCCGAAAACCAGUGCCGGGCUGCUAUCUCUUCUCUCCCCUCAGUCCAGACCCUCUCGUCACAGCCCACCUGCAGCCCACCUAACCCCCCCUCCGCUCCGGACCCUCCGAUCGAGAUCGAACGGCUCCGAAACGGCCUCAAACCCCCUAACCCUAGCCCCCUUACUAUAUAUAGAUGUCUCCCCUACCAAUUUUGGCCUUCCCCUUCCUUCCACCUUGUUUUCCGCGCAGCCCAAUCAUCAGCACCGCCGCUCCCCUCCAUUUCCGCGCCCCUCCAGCCCCUGCUCGCCACUUGGCAAGUCGCCAUUGGGCGCGCCGCCGCCAUCCACCGCCAGGGCCAACCGGCGCUCGCCACGCGGCCUCCCAGCGCCCCCCUGGCAGUUCCCCUCGCCGCAGCCCGUCCAAGCCCGGGCGCAGCCCGCCAGGCCCAUCCAGGGCCCGACCGCACCCGAGCCGCUCGAAGCCUCCCGCUCGAUCCAGUUUGGGAUCGGGGGAGCGCCGCCGCCCUCCAGCGCCUCGACCGCGCCGCCGGAGGCUGCCGUCCUCGCCCCGUUGCCUCGCCGGAUCUCCGCCGCCCGUCCUCCGCCGCCAUCCUCCGCCGCCAGGUCGUGCCUCCCUCUCUCUCCCGUCUCUCCCUCUGGUUUCUCUCUCUCUCAGAUCUCUCUCUCUCCCCUUGCAGUAACCCCGCCGCCGCCGCCAGGAACCUCGUCGCCGGCCUCCCUCAGCCUAGGGAACGUCGAAUCCGGCUGUUCCCUCGCCGGAUCUGGACGCCAGCGCCGCCCCCAUGGCCUCCUCCAGCCUCGCCAGCCCUUGCCGGAGCCCCGCCGCUGUCUGCCACCUUCGUCUCGAUCGGGACCGAGCACGAGCGCUCGUGCCCCUGCGCGUGUGCCCCGCAAGCCCAGGCCCGCAGCCGCAGCCAGCGCCAGGCCCCGCCGAAGCCAGCCAGGCCCAGCGCCCCCUUCCAGCCUGCCCGCGGCCCAGCUCCGACCGACCGGGCCUUGGCCCAGGGUGAGCAGCCCCCGCCCCCUCUCCUGUGCACUUGUGGGCUGACUAGAUUCGGCCCGUUGCUAUUUUUUUUCCUGUCCAGCGAUUUUAACAUUAUCCGUAGAAUUAACAGAUUUUCAGGAAAACCCCUGAAGUUCAUGCAUAUAAUAACUCCACAACCGUGCAUCAGAUUAAAAUAAUUUAUACAUGUAAAUUGCUUAGAAUUUCGUGUAGAUUAAUAAUAUGCCAUUUUCAUCCAUGUUUAAAAUGUUUAACUUGCUGUUUAUUUAAAUUUGCUAAUAUGCCAUGCUAAAAUGCUUUAUUUCAUAACUAAAUAACCGUAGCUCGGUUUUAAAUAAACUUUAUAUGUAAAUGGGGUGGAAAAUGCCUAGUUUAACAUGGUCCACUUUAUUUUCCUGUUUGACAACUCUAAAAUUGUGUUUAGGGCAGAACAGUACCAAAUCCAUAAUUUGCAUAUGGGGAUUUUCCGGAAUUGUUGUUUUGUUGUUCCGGCCUCAUUUAAACUUGCUUAGAUAGGUAGUUUUAUUAUGCCUCACCUCUUGCCAUGUUUAACAACAUUUAAUAUUGUUUGGUAGCUUAAACAAGACUAAACUAAAUAUGUCCAUGUGGUGUUUCGUCAAUAUGCAACUCGUUGCAUAUUGAGCUCCACUUAACUUGUAGUGUUGUUUGUGCAUAUUGACAUGCCAUGCCUCAUUAAACCGGUCAUGCAUCAUACUUGUUUGCGCAUCAUGCCAUGCUUAUGCUUGUUCGUUUACCAUGUUGUUUGUUUCUUUCUGGUGUUGCUUCUUAGUUCUGGUAAUGUUGCGAUCGUGAGGAUUCGUUCGUCUACGCUUGGUUCGGUUUCAUCCGUUCGUCUUCUUCAUGGACUCGUUCUUCUUCCUUGCGGGAUUUCAGGCAAGAUGACCGCUACCCUGGAUCUCACUACUAUCAUUGCUAUGCUAGUUGCUUCGUUCUAUCGCUUUGCUGCGCUACCUAUCAUCUGUUUGUCGAGCCAUCCCAUGUUUCCAUGAACCUCUAACCUUUGACACCUUUCCUAUGCAAACCGUUGCUUGGCUAUGUUACCGCUUUGCUCAACCCUCUUAUAGCGUUGCUAGUUGCAGGUGAAGUUGAAGAUUGCUCCAUGGUGGACAGGAUUUUUAUUGGGAUAUCACAAUAUCUCUUAUAUUAUUAAUGCAUCUAUAUAUUUGGUAAAGGGUGGAAGGCUCGGCCUUAUGCCUGGUGUUUUGUUCCACUCUUGCCGCCCUAGUUUCCAUCAUACCGGUGUUAUGUUCCCGGAUUUUGCGUUCCUUACGCGGUCGGAUGAUUUAUGGGACCCCCUCGACAGUUCGCUUUGAAUAAAACUCCUCCAGCAAGGCCCAACCUUGGUUUUACCAUUUGCCUCACCACCACCUAUAUUUUCCCUUGGGAGUAAUUAACCCAAUGGUCAUCUUUAUUACAGCCCCCCCGGGCCAGUGCUUGUCUAAGUGUUGGUCCAAACCAGAGCCACUUGCAGCGCCACCUCGGGGAAACUCGAGGGCUGGUUUUAGUUGUACGUAGUGUUCAUCCAGUGUUGCCCUGAGAACGAGAUAUGUGCAGCUCCUAUCGGGAUUGUCAGCGCAUCGGGCGGUCUUGCUGGUCUUGUUUUACCAUUGUCGAAAUGUCUUGUAAACCGGGAUUCUGAGUCUGGUCGGGUUUUCCUGGGAGAAGGUCUAUUCCUUCGUUGAUCACGAGAGCUUGUCAUGGGCUAAGUUGGGACACCCCUGCAGGGUAUAAUAUUUUGAAAGCCGUGCCUGCGGUUAUUGGCAGAUGGGAAUUUGUUAAUGUCCGGUUGUAGAUAACUUGACACCAGAUCUGAACUAAAACGCAUCAACCGUGUGUGUAGCCGUGAUGGUCUCUUCUUGGUGGAGUCCGGGAAGUGAACACGGUUUCUGUGUUAUGUUUGACGUAAGUAGGAGUUCAGGAUCACUUCUUGGUCAUUACUAGUUGACGACCGUUCCUCUUGCUCUCUCCUCGCUCUUAUUUGCGUAUGUUAGCCACCAUACUUGCUUAGUCGCUGCUGCAACCUCACCACUUUACCCCUUCCUCUCCCUUUAAGCUUUGCUAGUCUUGAUACCCAUGGUAAUGGGAUUGUUGAGUCCUCGUGGCUCACAGAUUACUACAACAACAGUUGCAGGUUCAGGUUGUGCGAGGAUGAUGACGCGAGAGCGAUGCUUGCUUGCGUUGAGUUCUUCUUCUGCUUCUUCGAUCAGGGAAUAGGUUCCAGGUCGGCAGCCUGGGCUAGCAGGGUGGAUGUCGUUUGAGCUUCUGUUUGUGUUUCAUCCGUAGUCGGAUGUUGAUAUUGUGUAUGAUAUAUUGUUGUAUCCGUGUGGCAUUGUAUGCCUUAUGUAUGUAUCCCCAUCUAUUAUGUAAUGUUGAUGUAAUGAUAUCCACCUUGCAAAGCGUUUCAAUAUGCGGUUCUAUCCUUGGUGGGAUCUUCGAGUCUCUUUAGGAUAAUAUCGCAUAUUGGGCGUGACAGCGAAUGCCUGUGAAGUUGCCGCGUUUUGGAGAAGGCCCGGUGCCUGUGAAGAAGGCGAAUGCCUGUGAAGUUGUCGUGUUUUGGAAAAGGCCUGGAGCCUGUGAAGAAGGCGAAUGCCUAUGAAGCUGGCGCGUUUUGGAAAAGGUCCGGUGCCUGUGAAUAAGGCGAAUGCCUGUGAAGCUGCCGCGUUUUGGAAAAGGCCCGGUGCCUGUGAAGAAGGCGAAUGCCUGUGAAGCUGUCGCAUUUUGGAAAAGGCCCGAUGCCUGUGAAGAAGGCGAAUGCCUGUGAAGCUCGCCGCCCGUGACACUCUCACGUAACAAUGAGUGGGGCUGUACACGCCCCGGAGUCUCCAGAGUGCCGCCCUCGGGCCUCGGGGGCUCCCGCCCACGCCUAGUGGCAGGACUUAGCUCCGCGCUGGUGAGAAGAAGUCGAAGAUUAGAUUAGGUGCCAGACGCGGCCUUUUCAUUUGCUUUCUGCAGUUGGCUUGUUCAUUCCUAUUUGAAGUUUUAUUGAAGCUGUUGUCGUCUCUA
rnacentral:lncRNA from 1 species